CAACCUCUGCAGGCUGGGGGCGGCCCCUCAGGCCCAGCUGGGCAGGUAUCUUUUCCAGUGCCUCACCCUCAAACACCACUAGAAAA
rnacentral:pre_miRNA from 1 species